UUGAAAUCUAUAUCAUCUAAUACACUCAGACUGUUUCCUUACCUACUACUUUUAUCAAAUUGCUACGAAAAUAAUAUAUUAAACAUUCAUUUACUCUAUCACCUGUGCUUCUCACUCGUCACUAUCCAUCUCUUUGUGUUCUCUCUUCACUAUCCAUUUCUUAUACAUUUUUUUUGUUUUCUCUUUUACACCAUUCCACACAUUUUAUGAAAAAUAUUGUCUUUUAAGAUGCAACCUUUAUUAUAUUCCUAUUUUGAAGAUUAUUUUUUUGUUGCUUUUCAUUAAUAUUUAUUUUGUAAUUUUUCAGAUCUGUAAUGAGGUGGAAUAAAAUCUUCCAGAUUUGAAAUGAGAUCAUGUAAAUACUACUUUUGCUUUCAGAUCUGAAAUGAGAUACUACUUUUUGCUUCAGAUCUGUGGCGUUUCCGAUAGUGUGCGGUUUUGCGGUGGUAAAUCUGUGGUGACGACAACAAUUUUCUGCGGCAAUUUUUUUGUUGAGACCACACACAAGAAAGAAGAAAUAUUGUCUGUGAUAAAAAAAAAAACUAUGGUUCCAUGUCCAACUUAGUUGCAAAUCUAUGUCCUGCUCCUAAUGAUAUAUGUUUUGUUUCAAAAUCAAGAUUUUCGGUGUCUUUUGUUUAAUUUUUAUCUUCAAGUUACCUAUAUAUUAUAUAUUAUAUAUUAUAUUAUUUUUACUUGAGGAGUUUUUGAAAUAAA